rnacentral:rRNA from 1 species
UACGGGAGCAUGAAGGGUGCACGGUGGAUGCCUUGGCCUAGAGCGGCGAUGAAGGACGUGAUUAGCCUGCGAUAAGCUUCGGGGAGGCGGCUAUUAGCCUGUGAUCCGGAGAUGUCCGAAUGGGGAAACCCCUCUACUUCUAGUAGAGAUCCGUGGAGUCAUGUCCACGAGAAGCGAACCCGGGGAAGUGAAACAUCUCAGUACCCGGAGGAAAAGAGAACAAUAGGAAUGUGUCUCCGUGCGCACAUGCUUGUGCGUAUGGAGACCCAUUCCACGUCAUUCCCCAAGUAGCGGCGAGCGAAAAGGGAGAAGCCCAAACCGUACUCUUCGGAGGACGGGGUUGUAAGGUAUGGACGUCUAGCUUGCUAGAGAAGAGUUACCAAUCGUCAUCAUAGCCGAAGCUGCUGGGAAGCAGCGCCCCAGAGGGUAAUGGCCCCGUAGGCGAAAUGCUGACGACUCUUUUGUCCAUAUUCUUGAGUAGUUCGAGACAUGAAUAGCUCGAAUGAAUCUGCCGGAACUAACCGGUAAGGCUACAUACGCUCUAUGACCGAUAGCGAACUAGUACCGUGAGGGAAAGGUGAAAAGCACCCCGAGAGGGGAGUGAAAUAGAACUGAAACCGUGCACUUACAAAGGGUCGGAGCCCGUUCCCGCAAGGGAGGGUGACGGCGUGCCUAUUGAAGAAUGAGCCUGCGAGUGUAUCUACGUCGCGUGUCUAAGGGGUUACGCCCCGGAGGCUAAGCGAAAGCGAGCGUUAAUAGCGCGUCUGCGGCGUCGAUACGACCCGAAGCCAGGUGAGCUUGCCAUGAGCAGGGUGAAGGUUGCCGAAAGGCAGCUGGAGGCCCGAACCCGUUCGUCGUACAACGCGUUGGGAUGACUUGUGGUAAGGAGUGAAAAGCUAAUCGAACCUGGGAAUAGCUGGUUCUCUCCGAAACAGCUUUUGGGCUGGCGUCGCCAUAUGCGCAGUGGGGGGUAGAGCACUGGAAGGGGCCAACAGGGAGAAAUCUCGUGGUCCCUAUCAAACUCCGAAUACCCGCUGCUCGGGCGGCAGUUAGAAGGUGGGGGCGAAGCUCCAUCGAUCGAGAAGGGAAGAGCCUAGAUCGCCAGUUAAGGCCCCAAAAUCGACGCUCAGUACAUCACAAGGAAGUGCGGAUUCACUGACAGCGAGGAUGUUGGCUUAGAAGCAGCCACCAUUCAAAGAAAGCGUAACAGCUCACUCGUCGAGAGUCCGUGCGCCGAAGAUGAUCGGGGUUAAGCGUCGUGCCGAAACUGCGGGUUUGCCGCGUACGUGUACGCGGCAAGCGGUAGGAGAGCGUUCUGUUCGCGAUGAAGCCGCAGGGGUGACCCGCGGUGGAGCGUUCAGAAGUGAGAAUGCAGGUACAAGUAACCACAAUGCGGGUGAGAACCCCGCACGUCGAAAGACCAAGGUUUCCGGAGCUAUGGUGAUCAUCUCCGGGUUAGUCGGGCCUAAGGGGAUGGCGAGAGCCGCACCCGAUGGACACACGGUCAAUAUUCCGUGACCGUUCGUAAGGCGAAGGAGUGACGGACUGCUGUAGCUGCCGCCCAUUAUUGGAUUUGGGUCGGCGCGGUGAGCGCGCGUGGUAGGCAAAUCCGCCACGCACUAGCGCGAGCCGCGACGCAAUUUCCUCCUACGGGGGGAGAGAGGGCAGCGAGCGCGGUUCCAAGAAAACCUCCUAGCAUUCAACUUGCGAACGACCGUACCGCAAACCGACACAGGUGGUCAGGGCGAGUAGCCCAAGACGAACGAGUGAGAGAUCCUCAAGGAACUCGGCAAACAAGCGGCCGUAAGUUCGCGAUAAGGCCUGCCCCUUCGCCCGCAAGGGCGGCGGGGCCGCAGCGAAAGAUUGCCUGGCAACUGUUUACCAAAAACACAGCUCCCUGCGAACUCGUAAGAGGAAGUAUAGGGGGUGACGCCUGACCGAUGCCGGUAGGUUAAGUACGGGCGGUACAUGCUUUCGGGUAUGUGCUGGACUGUAUAUGCCCCGGUGAAUGUCGGCGAUAACUAUGGACGAUCGUAGUUAUAAAAUUCAGCUAAAUGCGGGAAACUCUGGUUAGGACUCCGCGCUACUCGGGAUGAAAGACUCCCUGUAACAAUGCGCGAGUGCAGACAAUCCGCAGGAAAGACCCAACAUGAAAAACAUCAACGACAUACCGCCCCAUAUAGGGUGGUACAUCGCAGGAUUCGUAGACGGAGAAGGGAGCUUCAACGUUUCCUUCCGUCAGCGGCCUGAUCAUACGAUCGGGUGGCAGACGGUACUAACGUUCAAUGUCGCGCAACGCGACAAGACCGUGCUCGCGCUUAUGAAGCAGCACCUUGGGUGCGGUCGACUGCAAGCGCGACGCGAUGGCGUCUGGUACUACGUCGUGGCGAAUCCGCGAUCCAUAGAAGAGCGGAUCAUUCCGUUCUUCGAGCGGUUCGGAUUCUUGUCCGCUAAAUCCAAGAAGAACUUCAAACUCUUCAAGGACAUCGCGCACCAGGUGUUUCAGAAGAAGCAUCUGACACGGCAAGGGCUCGAAGAGAUAGCGCAACUUCGCGAACUUCUGAACGAAGGUCGCGGCAGGAAGCGCAAAUAUACCAUCGAGCAUAUCGUUGGCGAUGGGGUUGGGAAUCCUCAGAGACUACACGCUGAACUGGGCGAGAGCUCAGAUGAUAUAGUCCGAACUCACGGGCGAUCGUGAGAGUUGCCGCUUCGCGGCAGAGUAACAAAGUGAAUCGUCCUAAGGUCUCACGCUCGACGACAGUCGAACGUGGGAGGAUUGGGACCCAUUAUAGUCGGUAAAUAGGUUGCGCUAUUCGAAGCUACCUUCCGGUAUAGCAAUGUACCGGUUAAUCCUAAACACGACUCACAUGAGAGGCCAUACGUCGUGCCCGUUUCGGCGGUGAAGAUAUGGUCCAGGUUCGAGGAAUACCUGAGCGCAAUUCCUUGUCGGGUAAAUUCCGACGUGCACGAAUGGCGUAAUGACUGGGCAGCUGUCUCGAGGAUUCGCUCGGUGAAAAUGCACUUCCGGUGAAGAUGCCGGAUACCUGUAGUUAGACGAAAAGACCCCAGGAGCUUUACUAC